UACAGAGGGUGCAAACGUUGUUCGGAUUUACUGGGCGUAAAGCGCGUGUAGGCGGCUUUGCAAGUCGGAUGUGAAAGCCCACGGCUCAACCGUGGAAGUGCAUCCGAAACUGCAUGGCUGGAGUCCCGGAGAGGAAGGUGGAAUGCUUGGUGUAGAGGUGAAAUUCGUAGAUAUCAAGCAGAACACCUGCGGCGAAGGCGGCCUUCUGGACGGUGACUGACGCUGAGACGCGAAAGCGUGGGGAGCAAACAGG
rnacentral:rRNA from 1 species